ensembl:lncRNA
GGACCCAGCAAGUAGGCACCAUCCGUGAGCAGCAAGUCCUCUCUACACACCAUGUCUGCUGGAGCCUUGAGCUCAGGCUUCCCAGCCUCCAGAACUUUUGGAUUCUCUUGGAAACAGAACCUGAAUUAAGGACUUGGGAGUGGUCCUGAGGAGAAGUAAGGGAAGAGGAGGAAAUGAGACACAGAAGAGAGAAAAACAGUGAGGUGUGCACUGUAAAUCCAGAGCUCACAAUGUGACCACCUGAUUAUUUGUCAUCUCUCUAGCCUUAAAAAGCAAGUGCUAAGACAGACAAUUUCCAGUUUGUUCUCAAUCUUACCACCAAUUGUAAAUAUGCAGCCUACACACCAACGCUGUGGAGAGUAAAGGAAAAUAAUCUUUGAAUAUCAAAUGUCUUUGCCCACAUUGUUCUACCCUGGCCUGUUAUGUUUGGAUUAAGAACUUCAGCGAUGAAGUAUGAAUAACAGAGACUCAGCAAAAAGUAAGGAGCACAUCAGGGGCCCUGAAUCUCAGGCCUGCUCUCUGUGUCUGGAGUGUGCGGGGUGUGAGUGAAUCACACCAGCUGUGAAGAUCUCAGCUCGGGGCUAAUGGAGACUGCUUUCCUGCUUAUGAAGUCCCCUCGUGUGCAUGGAGGGUGUGGCCAGGUCAAGGAGAGAACAGUGAGGUCAGCAGGAGGG